rnacentral:sRNA from 1 species
AGUGUUGCCAAUACAAAUGUAGCAGUAAACACCCACUGUGGAUGUUUAGCUAACAACUUUUAAGUCAAAUUGGUAUAAUUAUUAUGAUCAUGACUUCAAAAUCAGAGAACAUGAAAAAAAUCUAUACAGAAACUAUGUUGACAUCACCGAACAUGCGAGAGCGAAGAGACUUCUAAACGAAGAUACGAAAGGUGCGAUGAAAGAAAUUAAUAGUAAAAUCAAAAGAAAAAUUAAAUCUAAAAUUUAAAUAAAAAACCUAGAAUGCA